CAAACACAACAGCACGACACAUCGGGUCUCACAUUAAUUUUAUAUAAAAAUUACUUAAAAAAUAUCAAAAAAAUUAUAAAAAGGAGAAAAUCAAAAAAGUUUGCGUCGCAAGUUUAAUAUUUAAUGAUAUAAUAUGCCUGUUUACUACGGAGGGUUUGUCGGUGGUCAUCAAGGGGGUGGCUACUGUUUGUAUGCUACGACAUGCAACCCGAGCAUGCCGGGCUGCGGCCCUUGCUGCUAGCUCUCCUCUAAAACUAAGGUAAUUUCAAGAUGAAAGUAAGCUGUAGGGGUGCUGGCACGUGAUGCGCCGACAGACCUUCGUAACGCAUUCCGGUCAAAUUUUUUGUACAAUGAAUAAACUAAUAUACCUAUA